UACGUAGGGGGCAAGCGUUGUCCGGAAUCAUUGGGCGUAAAGCGCGUGUAGGCGGCUCGAUAAGUCUGCUGUGAAAGUCCAAGGCUCAACCUUGGGAUGCCGGUGGAUACUGUCGAGCUCGAGUCCGGAAGAGGAGUGUGGAAUUCCUGGUGUAGCGGUGAAAUGCGCAGAUAUCAGGAGGAACACCAAUGGCGAAGGCAGCACUCUGGGACGUGACUGACGCUGAGACGCGAAAGCGUGGGGAUCAAACAGG
rnacentral:rRNA from 1 species